rnacentral:rRNA from 1 species
CCAAUAGCGUAUAUUAAAGUUGUUGCAGUUAAAAAGCUCGUAGUUGAAUUUCGGGAUUCUACCGUUGGUCGGGCUAUGCAGUCUGUACUCGCGUGUAGAAUUUCUACCUUCUGGGGAACCAUCAUGUUAUUAAUUUAGCGUGGUGGGAAACCAGGACCUUUACCUUGAAAAAAUUAGAGUGUUCAAAGCAGGCUUACGUCUGACUACAUUAGCAUGGAAUAAUAAAAUAGGACGGUGGUCCUGUUUUGUUGGUUUCUGAAUCACCGUAAUGAUUAAUAGGGAUAGUUGGGGGCAUUAGUAUUCAAUUGUCAGAGGUGAAAUUCUUGGAUUUAUUGAAGACUAACUUCUGCGAAAGCAUUUGCCAAGGAUGUUUUCAUUAAUCAAGAACGAAAGUUAGGGGAUCGAAGACGAUCAGAUACCGUCGUAGUCUUAACCAUAAACUAUGCCGACUAGGGAUCGGAUGAAGUUAAUUUUUUAAUGACUCAUUCGGCGCCUUACG